rnacentral:rRNA from 2 species
AGAGUUUGAUCCUGGCUCAGGAUGAACGCUGGCGGCGUGCCUAAUACAUGCAAGUCGAGCGAAUGGAUUAAGAGCUUGCUCUUAUGAAGUUAGCGGCGGACGGGUGAGUAACACGUGGGUAACCUGCCCAUAAGACUGGGAUAACUCCGGGAAACCGGGGCUAAUACCGGAUAACAUUUUGAACUGCAUGGUUCGAAAUUGAAAGGCGGCUUCGGCUGUCAUUUAUGGAUGGACCCGCGUCGCAUUAGCUAGUUGGUGAGGUAACGGCUCACCAAGGCAACGAUGCGUAGCCGACCUGAGAGGGUGAUCGGCCACACUGGGACUGAGACACGGCCCAGACUCCUACGGGAGGCAGCAGUAGGGAAUCUUCCGCAAUGGACGAAAGUCUGACGGAGCAACGCCGCGUGAGUGAUGAAGGCUUUCGGGUCGUAAAACUCUGUUGUUAGGGAAGAACAAGUGCUAGUUGAAUAAGCUGGCACCUUGACGGUACCUAACCAGAAAGCCACGGCUAACUACGUGCCAGCAGCCGCGGUAAUACGUAGGUGGCAAGUGUUAUCCGGAAUUAUUGGGCGUAAAGCGCGCGCAGGUGGUUUCUUAAGUCUGAUGUGAAAGCCCACGGCUCAACCGUGGAGGGUCAUUGGAAACUGGGAGACUUGAGUGCAGAAGAGGAAAGUGGAAUUCCAUGUGUAGCGGUGAAAU